GGAUUAGAUACCCUGGUAGUCCACGCCGUAAACGUUGGGCGCUAGAUGUAGGGACCUUUCCACGGUUUCUGUGUCGUAGCUAACGCAUUAAGCGCCCCGCCUGGGGAGUACGGCCGCAAGGCUAAAACUCAAAGGAAUUGACGGGGGCCCGCACAAGCGGCGGAGCAUGCGGAUUAAUUCGAUGCAACGCGAAGAACCUUACCAAGGCUUGACAUACACCGGAAACGGCCAGAGAUGGUCGCCCCCUUGUGGUCGGUGUACAGGUGGUGCAUGGUUGUCGUCAGCUCGUGUCGUGAGAUGUUGGGUUAAGUCCCGCAACGAGCGCAACCCUCGUUCUAUGUUGCCAGCACGUAAUGGUGGGAACUCAUGGGAUACUGCCGGGGUCAACUCGGAGGAAGGUGGGGGUGACGUCAAAUCAUCAUGCCCCUUAUGUCUUGGGCUUCACGCAUGCUACAAUGGCCGGUACGAAGGGCUGCGAUACCGUAAGGUGGAGCGAAUCCCAAAAAGCCGGUCUCAGUUCGGAUUGAGGUCUGCAACUCGACCUCAUGAAGUCGGAGUCGCUAGUAAUCGCAGAUCAGCAACGCUGCGGUGAAUACGUUCCCGGGCCUUGUACACACCGCCCGUCAAGUCAUGAAAGUCGGUAACACCCGAAGCCGGUGGCCUAACCCUUGUGGAGGGAGCCGUCGAAGGUGGGAUCGGUAAUUAGGACUAAGUCGUAACAAGGUAGCCGUAGA
rnacentral:rRNA from 1 species